rnacentral:rRNA from 1 species
UACGUAGGGGGCAAGCGUUGUCCGGAUUUAUUGGGCGUAAAGAGCGUGUAGGCGGCCAGAUAGGUCGGUUGUGAAAACUGGAUGGCUCAACCUCCAGACGUCGACCGAAACCAUCUGGCUAGAGUCCGGAAGAGGAGAGUGGAAUUCCAGGUGUAGCGGUGAAAUGCGUAGAUAUCUGGAGGAACACCGGUGGCGAAGGCGGCAUCCUGGACCGGCAUUGACGCUGAGGCGCGAAAGCCAGGGGAGCAAACGGG